rnacentral:rRNA from 1 species
AAUGAACGUUGGCGGCGUGGAUUAGGCAUGCAAGUCGCGCGAGAAGUCAUUUAGCUUGCUAAAAGACGGACAGCGGCGGAAGGGAGAGUAACGCGUGGUUAUGUACCCUCGAGACCGGGAUAGUGUCGGGAAACUGGCAGUAAUACCGGAUAACAUCUUCGGAUCAAAUGGUGUGAUUCCGCUCGAGGAUCGGACCGCGUACUAUCAGCUAGUUGGAGGGGUAAUGGCCCACCAAGGCUUAGAUGGUUACCGGGUGUGAGAGCAUGGCCCGGCUCACUGGGACUGAGACACUGCCCAGACAUCUACGGAUGGCUGCAGUCGAGAAUCUUCGGCAAUGGACGAAAGUCUGACCGAGCGACGCAGCGUGCGGGAUGAAGGCCUUCGGGUUGUAAACCGCUGUCAGUUAGGAGGAAAUCCAUGAGGGUUCUCUCUCAUGGUUGACCGAUUUUCAGAGGAAGGACGGGCUAAGUUCGUGCCAGCCGCCGCAGUAAAAC